AAAUAACAAUGAUUCCCUAGUAACGGCGAGUGAAGAGGGAAAAGCUCAAGUUUGGAAGCUUCGUGGCAUAGCUACGACGCGUUGUAAACUGAAGUUUUUUGGGUGAUUGGGCGACCGGAUAAAUAAGUCCUUUGGAAAGGGGCAACAUAGAGGGUGACAUUCCCGUCUUUGGUCCGAGUCAGUGCAGUCGCUACCCAGGAAACGACGAGUCAGGUUGUUUGGGAAUGCAGCCUAAAAUGGGAGGUAAAUCUCUCCUAAAGCUAAAUACUGGCGUAAGACCGAUAGCGAACAAGUACCGUGAGGGAAAGAUGAAAAGGACUUUGAAAAGAGGGUCAAAUAGUACGUGAAAUUGUUGAAAGGGAACCGUAUGAAAGUAGACUGGCUUGGUGAUGAUCAAUGUGUGUUUCGGCACGCAUGCACUCAUUGCCUUUGCCAGCCAGCGGCAGUUUUUGCUAAAGGAAGAAAAUCAGGGGAAUGUGGCUUCGAUUUCGGUUGAAGUGUUAUAGCUCCUGGUAAAAUACUUUGGCAGAGACUGAGGCUAGCAGUGGGUUUUUGGGAACUUUGCGCGCUUGUCGUCCAAUGGUCAAGUUUUCUUCGGAUGCUUGGUUAUUGGGUGGCAACUCGUGUGAUGCUUCACCCUCCCGCUUAGGUCGCUGGCGUAAUGCUUUUAUAUGACCCGUCUUGAAACACGGACCAAGGAGUCCACGUAUAGAGCGAGUCGUUGGGUGGCAAACCCAAAGGCGAAGUGAAAGCGAUUGGGAAGAAACUGUUACAGGUGGCACUCCCGGGGGGAUAUGACGUUUUAUACAGAUUGACCUCACCCAAAGCUCUAUGCAUGGGACCCGAAAGAUGGUGAACUAUACUUGAAUAGGGUGAAGCCAGAGGAAACUCUGGUGGAGGCUCGUAGCGAUUCUGACGUGCAAAUCGAUCGUCGAAUUUGAGUAUAGGGGCGAAAGACUAAUCGAACCAUCUAG
rnacentral:rRNA from 1 species